rnacentral:rRNA from 1 species
AGGGAAAGAGGGAGGGAGGAAGUACACAGGCAAGUCGAACGGUAACAGGUCUUCGGAUGCUGACGAGUGGCGAACGGGUGAGUAAUACAUCGGAACGUGCCCGAUCGUGGGGGAUAACGGAGCGAAAGCUUUGCUAAUACCGCAUACGAUCUACGGAUGAAAGCAGGGGACCGCAAGGCCUUGCGCGGACGGAGCGGCCGAUGGCAGAUUAGGUAGUUGGUGGGAUAAAAGCUUACCAAGCCGACGAUCUGUAGCUGGUCUGAGAGGACGACCAGCCACACUGGGACUGAGACACGGCCCAGACUCCUACGGGAGGCAGCAGUGGGGAAUUUUGGACAAUGGGCGAAAGCCUGAUCCAGCCAUGCCGCGUGCAGGAUGAAGGCCUUCGGGUUGUAAACUGCUUUUGUACGGAACGAAAAGACUCUUUCUAAUAAAGAGGGUCCAUGACGGUACCGUAAGAAUAAGCACCGGCUAACUACGUC